GCAUGGCUGUCGUCAGCUCGUGUCGUGAGAUGUUGGGUUAAGUACCGCAACGAGCGCAACCCUUGCCUUUAGUUGCCAGCAGUUCGGCUGGGCACUCUAAAGGGACUGCCGGUGUUAAACCGGAGGAAGGUGGGGAUGACGUCAAGUCCUCAUGGCCUUUAUGACCAGGGCUACACACGUACUACAAUGGCCGAUACAAAGGGCAGCGACACUGCGAGGUGAAGCCAAUCCCGUAAAAUCGGUCUCGGUCCGGAUUGGAGUCUGCAACUCGACUCCAUGAAGUUGGAAUCGCUAGUAAUCGUGGAUCAGCAUGCCACGGUGAAUACGUUCCCGGGCCUU
rnacentral:rRNA from 1 species